rnacentral:rRNA from 1 species
CCUACGGGAGGCAGCAGUGAGGAAUAUUGGUCAAUGGACGAGAGUCUGAACCAGCCAAGUAGCGUGAAGGAUGACUGCCCUAUGGGUUGUAAACUUCUUUUAUAUGGGAAUAAAACGUUCCACGUGUGGGAUUUUGUAUGUACCAUAUGAAUAAGGAUCGGCUAACUCCGUGCCAGCAGCCGCGGUAAUACGGGGGAUCCGAGCGUUAUCCGGAUUUAUUGGGUUUAAAGGGAGCGUAGGUGGAUUGUUAAGUCAGUUGUGAAAGUUUGCGGCUCAACCGUAAAAUUGCAGUUGAAACUGGCAGUCGUGAGUACAGUAGAGGUGGGCGGAAUUCGUGGUGUAGCGGUGAAAUGCUUAGAUAUCACGAAGAACUCCGAUUGCGAAGGCAGCUCACUGGACUGCAACUGACACUGAGGCUCGAAAGUGUGGGUAUCAAACAGGAUUAGAUACCCUUGUAGUC